AUCAAAAGUGCUAGGCAUUGGUGGAAGCGAUCCACUUGCUUCAAAAGUUGAUUGAGUAGCACCAUCACCGUAGUGACUGCCAUUAGUUGAUUGAUCCAAUGGGUACUGCAAAAACUGAUUGUUUGGCACAGACAAAUCAUAGGAGAAGGUUCCACCAGUCAAAUCAUAGGAGAAGGUUUCACCAGAAAAAUCAUAAGAGAAGGUUUCCCCAGGAGCAAACAGAUCAUCCAGCUCUAUAUAAUCAUCAUCCAUAGCAAAUCCAGAGUUUGAUUGCUGGAAAUCAUUUUCAGUAACACCCACGUCGCCAGCAGGGAAGUUUACAUUACACAUAUCCCCUGACUGGGCAAGUCC
rnacentral:lncRNA from 1 species